rnacentral:lncRNA from 1 species
UUUAAUAUGUUCCCUAUAAACUAUUCUUGCUAUCUCAUAGCUUUUCGAUCACCAUAAAAUUAUGUAAACUCUUGUGCUGAUAAUCGGGUUAUCAUGGUUGACUGAAAUUGCAGUAUUGUUCAGGCCAGUAGAUUGACAGUGAACAUAAAUUAAAAGUAGAGGACGAGUGUUAAUUUAUGUUCACUGUCAUCUACUGGCCUGAACAAUACUGCAAUUUCAGGCAAUUUUCAAGUACAAUACUUGCAAUAUGAGCAGUUAAUGUAGAUCCUAGAAGUCAGUGUGAUACAAGUGAUUAAACAGUUGAAGAUGGAUGAAGCUGCUCCCCAGUUAACAGAUGAUAUCAAC